rnacentral:rRNA from 1 species
ACGAACGCUGGCGGCGUGCUUAACACGUGCAAGUCGAACGGUGAUGCUCCAGCUUGCUGGAGUGGAUCAGUGGCGAACGGGUGAGUAACACGUGAGCAACCUGCCCCAGACUCUGGAAUAAGCGCUGGAAACGGCGUCUAAUACUGGAUACGAAACUGGCCCGCAUGGGCAUGGUUUGGAAAGUUUUUCGGUUUGGGAUGGGCUCGCGGCCUAUCAGCUUGUUGGUGAGGUAAUGGCUCACCAAGGCGACGACGGGUAGCCGGCCUGAGAGGGCGACCGGCCACACUGGGACUGAGACACGGCCCAGACUCCUACGGGAGGCAGCAGUGGGGAAUAUUGCACAAUGGGCGAAAGCCUGAUGCAGCGACGCCGCGUGAGGGAUGACGGCCUUCGGGUUGUAAACCUCUUUCAGCAGGGAAGAAGCGAAAGUGACGGUACCUGCAGAAGAAGCACCGGCUAACUACGUG